rnacentral:rRNA from 1 species
CGCUAUCAUCCUACGGGAGGCAGCAGUGGGGAAUAUUGCACAAUGGGGGAAACCCUGAUGCAGCCAUGCCGCGUGUGUGAAAAAGGCCUUCGGGUUGUAAAGCACUUUCAGUAGGGAGGAAGGUAGUGUAGUUAACACCUGCAUUAUUUGACGUUACCUACAGAAGAAGCACCGGCUAACUCCGUGCCAGCAGCCGCGGUAAUACGGAGGGUGCGAGCGUUAAUCGGAAUUACUGGGCGUAAAGCGCAUGCAGGCGGCCUGUUAAGUCAGAUGUGAAAGCCCGGGGCUUAACCUCGGAAUUGCAUUUGAAACUGGCAGACUAGAGUACUGUAGAGGGGGUAGAAUUUCAGGUGUAGCGGUGAAAAUGCGUAGAGAUCUGAAGGAAUACCGGUGGCGAAGGCGGCCCCCUGGACAGAUACUGACACUCAGAUGCGAAAGCGUGGGGAGCAAACAGGAUUAGAUACCCUGGUAG